UACGUAGGGUGCGAGCGUUAAUCGGAAUUAUUGGGCGUAAAGAGCUCGUAGGCGGUCUGUCGCGUCGGCUGUGAAAACUCGGGGCUCAACUCCGAGCUUGCAGUCGAUACGGGCAGGCUAGAGUUCGGCAGGGGAGACUGGAAUUCCUGGUGUAGCGGUGAAAUGCGCAGAUAUCAGGAGGAACACCGGUGGCGAAGGCGGGUCUCUGGGCCGAUACUGACGCUGAGGAGCGAAAGCGUAGGGAGCGAACAGG
rnacentral:rRNA from 1 species